GUGUGCGUGCAUGUGUGUGUGUGUGUGUGUGUGUUGAUGAUACAGUGAGGAGCAGAGCUGAUGUCCAGGAUAUAAAUCUGUCUCCCAUCGCUGGAACGCAGCAGAUAAAUGCAGCCUGCUGUUGUGGUCACUACGUCUGCUCUGAUGACUUGAUAACAGUCUUCCUGACUUCCUGAGUUAUAUUCACUACCCGAGAUGACAAAAAGUGUACAAACUGGUUGGUAGAUGGCAGCAGUGAGUCACUGACGUAUAGCAGCAGAACCCGGAUGAGCCGGUCAGCUGUUUAUCUAUCAUGAUAAAUAAUGUGCACGGAUCAGAGAACAGUAUCAGAAUGGAUCAAAAACCUGAAGAACGCACGUAAAGCCAAAGCCACAGCUAUAUUUCAUAAAGCGAGAUGCAGGAGUUUGUGCACGCAUUCAGAAAACACGCGCGUUCCCUGAGUUGCAUUUACAAACAGACAGAGAUGCAUCCUGUAAAUGAAUGCAAGCAGCAGUGCAAUAUGAGGUGUUUUAUUCUUUUAUCAACAAAUGCUGAUUUUCUGUGAGACAGUGGGUGCAUCUGCAUGCUGUCAUGUUUAUACCAGUGUAUACGUCAGAUACAGUUGCUGUGUUUUCUUGUAUGCAUGCAUGCUAAAGGAAUAGUUCUCCCAUAAAUUAAUAUUUGAUUAAUUUACUCACCCUCAAGCCACUUGGGUAAAGUUGGUUUUAUAUUCGGACUUCCGCGUUCAAUAACUUUGUUAAUAUGCACUUGAAAAAGACACUUUCGGUCAAGUAUCAUUACCGACCAUGAUGAGUACAUUUCAGAACACAUUUUUAUGUCGAACUCGACGUUUUAAAGACGCUGAUAAACACGCUUACCUCUAUGGAGUGUCGUGACGUCAUCGCCUAUCUGAGGGACUAUCUACAAAUUACGUGUUUCUAUUAAAAAUAAAUAAAAACACAACUGUUUUUAUUUAUUUGCCUGCAAAUGAAUAAGAACUGUGUUGAUUUGUUGGUUUUAACAAUGAUAUAAUUUAUUUCAAUAGGUUUUGAAAGCAUGGGUCAACUUCUCUGAAGCAAGUUGGAACAUCUAGUCUGGACACUACAGAACAUACUAAAGCCCAUGUCUUGCUGUUUUAUUCACCUCUGUUUUUCUGAUUUUAAGUAUGAUAAAGACUUAACAGUGUAACAGUGUUCUCCAGGUGUUGAAUGAAAAUGCAAAAAGGCUGAACUCUUUUAUGUUUUUCUGUUUUAUGACAUCUUUGUUUAACAUUAAACUCACAAUUCAUGUGCAUUGAUUGAUGUUUACAUUCCUGCAGAAAUGUCACUUUGCAUGGUACUGAAUCCAUCAGAUUAUUGACAAGUACUCAGAAAUCAUGACAGCAAACACAAUGUUGAUUUUGGAUGAACAUUUCUAAAACUAUGGCAAAACUUUCCUCAAGAUGGUUUAUAAGAAUUUGUGCUUCACAUAUAUUAAAUUUGUACCAUCAAUGUUUUUAUGGGUUUCCACAAUGACUUUUCCACAAUCCACUUCAACAGCUUUUGAAAGAAGGAACCUAGUGCUAAGUUGCAAAAUAUUUAUUUGACUCUCAAUUACAUACAUUAAGUCUUUAAUGUACAAGUAUUUAAUAUAGAUGUUCAAAAAGUACAGUACCAUCACUGUAUUCUGUUUCUCUAUUUACACACCUUCAGUUCAAUAACUUUUUAAAGGAGUCUCAAAACAAAACAAGCUGCCAAAUAAUUAUCUGACCCUCUUCGUCAUAUCAGGAGUACUGAAAGUACAAUUAUUUGCUCUAAAAGAUACAUUUGCAGCGUCCCUGUAUUAUACUGUAUGUUUUUCUUCAUAGAGACACCCCCUUCAGUUCAAUAACUUUUUUAAAGAGGCUCACACUGUUACAAAACAAGUAGCUAAAUAAUUAUCUGACCCUCUAUAACAUAUCAGAAGUCUUGAAAGUAAAAGUGUUUUCUCUAAAAGAUACAUUUACAGCAUCUCUGUAUUAUACAGGUCCAUCACAAUACAUUAGAAUUUCGUGGAAAAGUUCAUUUGUUUCAGUAAUUCAACUCAAAUUGUGAAACUCGUGUAUUAAAUAAAUUCAAUGCAGACUGAA